rnacentral:rRNA from 1 species
CCUACGGGAGGCAGCAGUGAGGAAUAUUGCGCAAUGGGGGAAACCCUGACGCAGCGACGCCGCGUGAGUGAGGAAGGCCUUCGGGUCGUAAAGCUCUGUCAGAAUGGAAGAAGUGUUAUACGGUUAAUACCCGUAUAAUUUGACGGUACCUUCAGAGGAAGCACCGGCUAACUCCGUGCCAGCAGCCGCGGUAAU